UACAGAGGGGGCAAGCGUUAUUCGGAAUUACUGGGCGUAAAGGGUCUGUAGGUGGCCAACUAAGACAGACGUGAAAUCCCUCAGCUUAACUGGGGAACUGCGUCUGAUACUGGUCGGCUUGAGUGCAGGAGAGGAACGCAGAAUUCCAGGUGUAGCGGUGAAAUGCGUAGAUAUCUGGAGGAACACCGGUGGCGAAGGCGGCGUUCUGGACUGCAACUGACACUGAGAGACGAAAGCCAGGGGAGCAAACGGG
rnacentral:rRNA from 1 species